rnacentral:rRNA from 1 species
AACCGGGGCUAAUACCGGAUGCUUGAUUGAACCGCAUGGUUCAAUCAUAAAAGGUGGCUUUUAGCUACCACUUACAGAUGGACCCGCGGCGCAUUAGCUAGUUGGUGAGGUAACGGCUCACCAAGGCGACGAUGCGUAGCCGACCUGAGAGGGUGAUCGGCCACACUGGGACUGANACACGGCCCANACUCCUACGGGAGGCAGCAGUAGGGAAUCUUCCGCAAUGGACGAAAGUCUGACGGAGCAACGCCGCGUGAGUGAUGAAGGUUUUCGGAUCGUAAAACUCUGUUGUUAGGGAANAACAAGUACCGUUCGAAUAGGGCGGUACCUUGACGGUACCUAACCAGAAAGCCACGGCUAACUACGUGCCAGCAGCCGCGGUAAUACGUAGGUGGCAAGCGUUGUCCGGAAUUAUUG